rnacentral:snRNA from 1 species
GUGCUCACUUUGGCAACAUAUACACUAAAAAUUGGAACGAUACAGAGCAGAUUAGCAUGAGCCCUGUGCAAGGAUAACAUGCAAAUUUGUAAAGCAUUCCAUGAUUAA